GCGGGUGUCGUAUAACGGUUAUUAUUUCUGCUUUCCAAGCAGACGAAGCGGGUUCGAUUCCCGCCACCCGCU
rnacentral:tRNA from 1 species